CAUCUGUUCUCUGCUGAACAUCCUAAUGUGGUCCAGAAUCUUUUAAGCUUUCUUGUUCCCCUGCAGCCACUGGAGCAAAAGACCUCAGUGCUCUUCUGAACAGCUCAAUCAUAAGAAGGCUUAGGCAGUAUGGAAAGGAAAACGGAUCUGUUGGAGGUCAGCACUAACAGAGACUAUAUUUGAAAUUGUGUCCUCAGUCCUGGAAAGAAAUUCAACAAUUUUUUUUUCCAUAAAAAUAAGAGCGCUAGCUCAACAGCACUGACUGCCUCAGUAGGUCAAGAAAAGAGCAGAACCGUCUGUCACAAUAAUUCCCACACAAACAGUGAGGAGCCAGAACUCUUCCUGUUUCCAGUCCUAUUCAAGGUGGAAAACACUCCUAACUGGGAAGCUGAUGUGAACAGACAUUUCACAAGACUAUACAAGGGGAAAGAGCUGUAGCAGGAAUUCUUUGCCUUGCACAAAAGUUUAUUACAGAAGGAAAAGGCUUACAAUGAAUAAAAAUUUAAGAAAUAAGGGCAUAAACAUACAUUAGAUUAAAGGACUUACUGCUGUUCUGAAGUGAAACUUCAGUACCCUGGGGAAGGAAAAAACUUUGCUUAGGAAUUCAGGAUAGACAGGACUGUGAAGGACCUGCAGAUUAGAAGGUGAUCUCAGGAUAAUGAACAAUGAAUGCAUGUGCAUGCUGGCUAGAUGGACUUGAUCAAGAUGUUAUAAACUUAAUUGUCAAGGAAGUGUAAAAGUGAUGAAAACACACUUCUGAAGAUGGCUCACCAGGAUUUCUGACCUGCACAUUACUGACAUUAGUUGGAACAAAUAGAAGGCUAAGUCCACAUAUGCAUCAAAACAAGCCCAGUGAUUUACAAGAGGAAAGUAAAUUCUGGUUUAAUUUAAGUGGCCAUCAAGCAGUUUCAAGACAGAAUUCACUUCAUGAAUCAUCUGAGAGGAUGUUUGACAUCAGGAGAUCUCACUGCUCUUCAGAGACUGCAGCUGCUUUUGUUGGGACAAAAUCCUGCAGAUUCAUGUGCAGGGAUCCUACAGAUCUCACCUAAAAGAGUGAAAUCUCCAAAGUAAGGAGAACACUUACAGCAUAUUUUGUCAUAUUUAAAGAAGAACCCCUCAGUCCUUGAGUGCAGCUCUCCCAGGUUUUAAGCAAGUAUAAAGGAUACAUCCCGGUGCGUCUGCAUGGUCUGCACUCUUGUGAUAAACUUAUGGCAGAAGAAAAGGUGUCAACAUGUGCAUUUCUUCAAAGACCAGUGAACAUCUCUCUGCAUAGAGCAUCACACAGGAAGGGCAAAGCUAUGGACUUACGCUACUUGUGACCAAGGAAGAUCAAGAAUUGUACUUUUACUCUCAGGUAAUUUUAUCUUGGCAUAACUCUAGGGUAGCAAUAACAAGUUGUGUUGUUAUUUUAUUGUCCUAAAACUCAGUCAUCCUCCUCAAAAAUUCACUUGGUGUGAAUUCCACAUGCAGGAAUGCAUUUCCUAUAUAGGUUAUAAAACUAUAGCCCUGGAUCAACAUUUCAAAUGCACAUUUCUUUUGGGAGCACUUGUGCUGUUUGGGGUGUUGUGAAUCUCCCUGUGAGUUGGAAGUCUCAUUGUCUUUGUUCACUUAGGAGAGAUUACUGGCCCUAAGCUGAAUUUAUGAGCACACAAUUUGGCACUAGCUUGCUCUGGCCUUUUAUUUGCACACAUUCACUGUAAAUGCAAUCAGAAACCCAGAUUGCUGAAUUAAGGACAUGGCCAUCAUUUCUGCCAGACUUGAUUGGGCUGUAUUAAAUAAUUAUGC